rnacentral:piRNA from 1 species
UGAGUGUUCAAGACUGUUAAACAGAACUGGA